rnacentral:tRNA from 1 species
AUUUAAAUAAUUUAAUUAAAAUAUUGAUUUGUGGGGUCAAAAAUAUGAUGAUAUAUCAUUUUAAAUA